AUUGAACGCUGGCGGCAGGCCUAACACAUGCAAGUCGAACGGUAACAGAAAGCAGCUUGCUGCUUUGCUGACGAGUGGCGGACGGGUGAGUAAUGUCUGGGAAACUGCCUGAUGGAGGGGGAUAACUACUGGAAAGGUAGCCAAAUCCGCAAUAACUUCCCAGAACCAAAGGGGGGGACUUUCGGGCUCUUUGCCAUCGGAUUUGCCAAGAUGGGAUUAGCUUGUUGGUGGGGUAACGGCUCACCAAGGCGACGAUCCGUAGCUGGUCUGAGAGGAUGACCAGCCACACUGGAACUGAGACACGGUCCAGACUCCUACGGGAGGCAGCAGUGGGGAAUAUUGCACAAUGGGCGCAAGCCUGAUGCAGCCAUGCCGCGUGUAUGAAGAAGGCCUUCGGGUUGUAAAGUACUUUCAGCGGGGAGGAAGGGAGUAAAGUUAAUACCUUUGCUCAUUGACGUUACCCGCAGAAGAAGCACCGGCUAACUCCGUG
rnacentral:rRNA from 1 species